rnacentral:rRNA from 1 species
AGUGAACGCUGGCGGUAGGCCUAAUACAUGCAAGUAGAACGCCCGCAUAGUAAGAGCUCUCUCUUACGCGUGGCCAGUGACUGACGGGCGGGGAAUUCACGCGUAUCUACCUUGCCUUGGGGGGGAGCGUAGGGAAACUUAAGCUAAUAUCAUAUACGACCAUCGUGUUAAAUCAGGGGAUCUUCAUACCUUGCUCCAAUUACUGCACUGAGGUCGGAUCAGCCAGUUGGCGGGCUAAAGGCCCACCAAGGCGACGAUCCGUAGCUGGUCUGAGAGGAUGAUCAGCCACACUGGAACUGAGACACAGUCCAGACUCCUACGGGAGGCAGCAGUGGGGAAUAUUGGACAAAGGGCGCAAGCCUGAUCUAGCCAUACCGCGUGGGUGAAGAAGGCCUUCGGGUUGUAAAGCCCUUUUGUUGGGAAAGAAAAGCAGCAGGUUAAUACCCCGCUGUUCUGACGGUACCCAAAGAAUAAGCACCGGCUAACUUCGUG